ACUCAAAGGAAUAGACGGGGGCCCGCACAAGCGGAGGAACAUGUGGUUUAAUUCGAUGAUACGCGAGGAACCUUACCCGGGCUUGAAAUGGAGUGGAAUAUGGAUGAAAGUCUAUAGUCAGCAAUGACCACUUUGUAGGUGCUGCAUGGUUGUCGUCAGCUCGUGCCGUGAGGUGUCGGCUUAAGUGCCAUAACGAGCGCAACCCUUAUUGAUAGUUACUAACAGUUUAAGCUGAGGACUCUAUUGAGACUGCCACCGUAAGGUGUGAGGAAGGUGGGGAUGACGUCAAAUCAGCACGGCCCUUACGUCCGGGGCGACACACGUGUUACAAUGGGGGGUACAGAGGGUUGCUACCACGCGAGUGGAUGCUAAUCUCAUAAAUCCUCUCUCAGUUCGGAUCGAAGUCUGCAACUCGACUUCGUGAAGUUGGAUUCGCUAGUAAUCGCGCAUCAGCCAUGGCGCGGUGAAUACGUUCCCGGGCCUUGUACACACCGCCCGU
rnacentral:rRNA from 1 species